AGGUACGAGAAGAUAUGGUCCCCAUGGGGCGAUUAUACUACCGGAGAGGUAGUCAUUUUAAUAGCCAUAGCGAUAACAGGAAGACAGGUUGCAUGGCGCAGAGAGAUGUUGUUGUUAUUAUUAUUAUUGCCAUUUAUAUAGCGCCAACAGAUUCUGUAGCGCUUUACAAUAUUUUGAGAGGGGGGAUGUAACAAUAAAUAGGACAAUUACAAGAAAACUUACAGGAAUAAUAGGUUGAAGAGGACCCUGCUCAAACAAGCUUACAGACUAUAGGAGGUGGGGUAUUAGAAACAUUAGGACAAGAAAUAUCAAGUAGGAGUGAAGCAGAGCUGGAGGAGAGAGCAAAGCACUGUCCCAUAGGAGAGAGCAGGAGACAGGUAUGUAAGGUAGAGAUUACUCUGGGAGGCCAUAAGCUUUCCUGAAGAGAUGGGUUUUAAGGCCCUUCUUAAAUGAUUGAAGACUAGGGGAGAGUCUGAUGGCAGUAGGCAGGCUAUUCCAUAGGAGAGGAGCCGCCCGCGGGAGGUCCUGCAAACGCGAGUUGGCCGUACGGGUGUGAGCAGCAGUCAGGAGGUGGUCACGGGCAGAGCGGAGGGUACGAGGAGGGGCAUAUCUAUAGAUUAGUGAAGAGAUAUAAGUGGGGCUAGAAUUGUUCAGUGCUUUAAAUGUAUGGGUUAGCAUUUUGAAUUGACUCCUAUAGCAUAC